UCGAGAAUUUUUCACAAUGGGCGCAAGCCUGAUGGAGCGACGCCGCGUGGGGGAUGAAGGGCUUCGGCUCGUAAACCCCUGUCAUUCGCGAGCAAAAGCUGGGUGCUAAUACCAUUCAGCCUGAUAGUAGCGGAAGAGGAAGGGACGGCUAACUCUGUGCCAGCAGCCGCGGUAAUACAGAGGUCCCAAGCGUUGUUCGGAUUUACUGGGCGUAAAGGGUGCGUAGGCGGUUGGGUAAGUCUGAUGUGAAAUCUCCAGGCUCAACUUGGAAAUGGCAUCGGAAACUAUCCAGCUAGAGGAUUGGAGGGGGGACUGGAAUUCUCGGUGUAGCAGUGAAAUGCGUAGAUAUCGAGAGGAACACCAGUGGCGAAGGCGAGUCCCUGGACAAUACCUGACGCUGAGGCACGAAAGCUAGGGGAGCAAACAGG
rnacentral:rRNA from 1 species